CAUACUUGCUUUUCUCCAACGUUUUGUGUUUGUGAUUUUUUUUAUUUUUUUGAUUUAUGAAGGGUUGCCAGGACUGUAGUAUUUGGUGGCCCUCUUAAUGGUGCUCUGGCAGAAGAUGUUCAUCAAAGUGCCAAAGAGACUGGCACUGUGUGCUCUGUAACUUACCCCAUUCCCAAGGAAAAGCUGUGAAAACAUGGACCUUGACAUUUACUCAAGUCUGUAAGGUUUAGUGAAGCUUUUAAGUGCUUGUACAGAACAUCAGAAUGAAAGAGGCAGUAGCAGUGAGGAUUUGGAUGACGAUGAAGAUGACGAAGAUGAUACAGAGGUUAUUUGGAUGAUGGUUAUUGAGGAAACUCCAGCUGCUGAAGGCAUUUUAACUAGCGAUAUGGCUACGAGGAACAGUGUUUGUUCCAGGCAGUAUUGGUAGAGAUGGUUCUCUCUCAACUCAUGCAGCAUCCCCAGAAAUGAGAAGCUAUACAAGGAUAGUGCCUUUGAUUUUUGGUUCCUGUCCCUGAAAAGAGGAUGUAUCUUUCAGAUACAUUAUGAUGAUGCUUUUCAACAUUUGAAUUGAUAUUUGUGCUGCUUUUGUACAAGUUUACUAUCUUCCCAUAUCUCAUAAUGUUUUUGAGCUUUGCAGGUUGCAGGAAGAGAAGAUGACUAAGCUUCAAUCUCCAAAUUUUCAUGUUGUAUACAAUUUACCAAAGUCAAUGACCGAGAAACAACUGAAGAAGCUUUUCAUUGAUGCUGUUACCUCACGCGCUACAGAGCAAAAGCCUGUCACUCAACAGAUAAAAUUUUUAAAGAGUAUAAAGAAGGGAAAGGUUGUGAUCAUUCAUGGGGAGUUGCUUUUGUUGAGUUAACCGUGCAUCAGCAUGUGCUGGUUGCCCCGAGGGUUCCUAAUAAUCCUGAAACUUUUGGUCCUGAACAUGGCCUGAUAAGUCUCUUUUGCUCUUGAUAAUGUUCAAAUUUUGAAGCUACGAAAAGCUAAGCUUUGAGCUCAGCAGCUGGAAACCCAUAAAAGUUCUCAAGAUAUGCAGGAAAACGAUGAGUCACAGACAUCAAAUGUCAUUCCAAGCCAAAAGCAGAUGUCCAGAAAAGGGAAAUCCAGAGUUGAGAAUAGAGCAGUGAAGGACACUCGAAAUCAAAUAGAAUUGAUGAAGUGAAAAAUAAGGAUUCUGACAGAAAAUUCUUGAAAGUAAGUGGUACUAAAAAGCAUACUUCUGACAAACCUGAAGGUGAAAUUUCGGAGAAAAGAAAAGGGCUCAAAAAGAAUUAAGACUCUGUGGGACAGGACGUGGUAGAUAAACCUGACAUGCUGAUCGAACAAUACAAAUUGAAAUUCUCCAAGCAUACUUCUGACAAACCUUAAGGUGAAAAGCAAGCCAAUAGACAGCUUAAAAGAUGGUUCCGAUUAUGAUUUCCUUUUAGUGGGUUUUUGUAGCAUUUAAUGGUGGAUUCUUUCGUAGAAGAGUUGCGGUAAUUGAUUUUAAUGCAAUUGCUUGACAUUUUUGUACUCUCAAAUCUGACAGUUUUGGUUAACCUGUAAUCCCGCAUAUGUGUUGUAGAAAUAUGUUGAAUUCGCUGUUCCUUCAGCAAGAACGGUUCUUAGCCGAUCGAUGUAAUUCAGUAUUAUAAUACAAGAUUAAUUGGCAGGAAGCAUUUUUUACUUGAAAA